UGGAGAAUGGCAUGGCAACGCACUCCAGUAUUCUUGCUUGGAGACUCCCAUGAACAGGGGAGCCUGGUGGGCUACAGUCCAUGGGGUCACAAAGAAUUGGACACUGCUGAAGUGACUUAGCACUCGGAAAACAGAAAGCUGUAGGGCACCUUCUUUAUAGGCUACAUGGAGUGGCCAGUUUUAGUUGGGACCACUUACAGCAUCACAAGAUGUGAGACUUGGAAGGAACUUCAGAGAGUCUGUCCAAAUUCCCAGAGGAGGAAGCUGAGGCCCAGAGAGGGUAAGGGACUGGUCCAAGCACACACAGCACAAGCAGGACUAAAAAUCACUGCUCUCCAGGAGUCUCUCCACUUUAAUGCACUGGCUUAUCACUUACUGAAAAAAAAUGAAGCCCCAAAUCUCUAGCCAGAUCCUAAGUCUAAGCUUAAUUAGCCUGUUGCACUUUUUUUUUUUUUAUUUUAAUGAAAGCUGUAAAAUUGUUGGAUUCCAGCUGAGAGAAAAACCACAAAUUCUCAGCUGUGGCCUACUGUGAGGAAACGUAAGGAUCAAACCUCAGCAUGGGAAUGAAUGCGAGGCAUUUAGGAUUAUUGUGGAGCUUGGCCGCAAUAACAAAAGCCUGUUCCAUGGUGGAAAGGACCAUGUUACAUUUCCAUUCUUAUUGGCAUUUGAAAAAAUAGAACAGAAAUUAUUUCUUGGGUAGAAGCAGUUUCUGUGACUGGGAAAGACUUCUUGCUCAUUACUCCUCCCUUUACUGUUCAUAUAUUUCCCAUUGAUGGUUACUGAAACAGCAGAUACUUCAUACAGAGAACAUUUAUCACAGCAGAUUCUUGAUUAAAGGUUCUUCCAGUGAAGCAGUCAUGGCCAAGGGAGUAAAUUAGGCUUUUUCCGGAAGCUUCACGAACACUCAGUCUAACAUGGCUUUAAUUUCCAAACUAGAGUUUGGCAGGCCCAGGUCUCAGCAACGUCCCCAGCCGCCUCCUGUCACACCUGACCUCUUGGUGCCUGGACAGGAGCGGGGUUUCACGGGGCUGAGACCCCUCAGGGGUUGUCACACUGCUUCCCAGUGGCACCCGGACGGCACCUGGGAUGCCGCUGCUGGUUCGGGGAGAUGAGCUGUGUGAUUUCGCAGGGGCCUUGGCCCUGUGAUUGCCUGGUGUGCUGGUAACAUGCUCUUCACGUAGAUUCCCCAGAAGGUCAAUUGUAGAGUUUGGUAGAAUGAGUAGGACGGUAACUUCCACAGGAAGCCUUUGGAUUGUUAGAAGCUGAAGAAGCAACAUCAGUGGCCCCCACUUCUGGGGCGGGGGGCUCCUGGAUCACCAGGCAACAGCACUUUCUGGAACUGUUGGCAGUGGCGGGGGCCCCACCUUUCCUCAUGGUAUCGUUUUCUGGGUCCCUUUGUCUCGUCCUGAGGGCCAUGUGUACCCUGGCUGCAGCGAACAAAUUUUGUGUGGGUGGUGGGAGGGUUAGGGUGGUGGCAGGGGGGCAGGGGGAGGCGGGCAUAGCGCUGUGCCCAGCCAGCCCCUCCUCUGAGCGCUGUAACACAUUGCAGACACCUGUGCAUCCACAGGGCAUGUUGUCAGCACGCUGAAGGGUUAAAUUACUUGUUGAGCGAGUGGACAGCACGAGCACUGACCUUGAAUGUGGACUAAUCAAACCCGUGUAAUAGUGACGCAAGAAGUCACUGAAAAACUGUGGGAGAAGACUUGGAACUUUCUCUAGAAAAGUUCAUUAAUGACCAUUGACAGGGAAGCCCAGCACGCUGCAUGCAGUCCAGGGAGUCGCAAGGAGUGAGACACGACUGAGCAGCUGAACAUCAUCAAUGACGAGAAUACAUCAUAUACAAUAGAUUAUAGAUCAUAUAUAAUCUAUAUACAAUCAUGGAGAACUGAGAUGGAUACUUGAGAAAAAAAACAAAAAAGUUUGCUCUUCCCUCGAAUUUAAAUCACUCCCAUCAUUGAAGUCAAAGGUGAAGUAGAGAAUUAAUUUUCUUCUCCAUUUUCCAUUGAUUUAUUAAUUGUAAAGGUAGGCUUGUACUUACCUGAACAGGCAAGAAUACAAUUGGCAUUUCAAGUCACUUUUACUCUUUUCAUACCCUAGUCUCUCUCACCUUAAAAUAUACCCUCUCCCCCCGAGUGUUUAGGACUUGACAGUUUCACUGCCAUGGCCCGGGGUUCAAAAUCUGAUGGGGGAACUACCCACAAGCCACUUGGUGCAGCCAAAAAAUAAAAAUAAACAUCUACCCUUAAUCCUUAGAACUAUCAGUUGCUUUCUCCCCUUCUCAUUGAAAAACCUGUGAAAGAAUUGUGGGCUCAUGAAUUAUCUCCAUUGCCUAGUUUUUUGUUUGUCCUUCAGAUUUCUCCACUGUGGCUUCUAUUCCCACAGCUCUGCAAAAAGUGCUCCCUCCACGAUAGCCGGUAAUCUCCACAGCAUUCACCCCGUGGAGUAUUUCUGGGUCCUUGUCUUCCUGGAAUGUUCCUUGGAGGACCAUCUGAGAAUCAUUCUAUUGCAUAUGAAAGAAAAACCCAGUUAAAUUGUGGCAGACAAAACCGUAAGUUUCUUGUAAGUUUCUUUAGUAAUUUUCUCCCCUUCACGUCUCUGCUCUAGCAUUAAUCAGAUAUUGUUGUUCAGGUGCUAAGUUGUGUCUGACCCUUUGCAACCCCUUGGAAUUAAUCCUCUAACUUUUCUAUCUCCCUCUCUAUUUAUUCAGCUCUGAGAGUUCCUUGCCUCUCUUUUAAACCUGGUAUUGCUUUUGUAAUGUCUCCUAUCAUAGUUUUUCUGUCAUUUCUUGUUCUCAGAUGAUUCCUUUCUAUUGCAACACAUUCUUGUUUCAUGGAUGCGGUAUUUUGCCUUAUUUUUUCUGGCAAAAUUAAUUAAAAAUUUUCCUCCUACUUCCUAAAUUCUGUUUUCUGAGUAACGUUGUUUGUUGUGGUCUCUGUCCAUUGUGUGGAGACAUUCUGAAAAUGUCCGUGACUCAAAGCCGUCUGUUCACAUUCUAUAGGCAGAUCCUGGCAGCUCUAAAGGGACAGGGAGGCUGCAGCUGGUGGACUGGUGGCUUUGGGGCUAGGUUGACUGGGUGGGAGGCCAGCUUUGGUCAUUUGAUAAAUCUCCAUCUUUCCUCACACCCAAAUAUCACCACGUGCUGGUCUUUUUCCUGGGGCGAUUCUGUUUCUCCAGAAAGGGAUCUUCCAGACUCCGCUGGGGAGGGUGGGUGUAGAUGCCUAGCUGAGGGCUGUCUCAGGACCAGGUUGAAGAAGGCAGCCAGAGGCUUUGUAGUUCUGAAGGUAGGUUGUAACUGCCUCCUUCAGUGCUCAGCAUUACCUCUGCCCUCCUCUUGGACCUGCUAUUUGAGACCACAUCUUCUCUGGCUCAGUUUAUCCAGGGGAUGAGCCUCUAGACUCUUGCUGUGGGGGAGGAGGGCCUCAGAGGUAGGAGGGCUAUUUGAGACUCCCACCAUGCUCCCCCUUGUCACCUUACACUUCAUCCAUACCUUUCAGAUUGCACAGUGCCUCCCAGUGAUGCUGGCCUGUCGGGUGCUGCCGGGCCCCCAGCGUCUCCCCGCACACGUCCAGGUCAGCGUCCUCCACCCGCUGAAGUCAUUUACCUUCCGUACAUCUCUCAAGCCCUUACUGACUUUCCUUGUCCAUAACUUUCUCCUCUUUUGUUUACUCCUUUGGAACUGUCAUGUUAGGGCUUUAGGAGUAUCAAAAAACACAUUUCAAGCCACCAUAUUUAACUAGAAGUAUGUUGGCCUUCUUUAUAAUUUUGGAUUAAAUUUUGAUUCUUUAGGUCUGCCUUUCCACAGAAAGUUGGAAAAUAGAAAUUCUGACUUUUUCAGCUGCAUUACAAAGCGUAAACAUGAAGUCUGAAGCCACAAUCAUGUUUGCACCAGCCUAAUAGACAGCAUCACUGCCUCAAUGGAUCUGAAUCUGAGCAAACUCUGGGAGACAGUGGAGGACAGAGGAGCCUGGUGUGCUGCAGUCUACGGAGUCAAAAAGAGUUGGACAUGACUUAGCAGCUGAACAACAAAUUCAUUAUGGACAUAUUCUUAACACCUGAUAUAAGGUAAUUAGCAGCCCAAAGCUGUAAAUAACAUCCAAGCCACUUGAAUAUGUGAAAUGCGUGCUUAUGUGAAGUUCUAGCUGUGGGAUUAUGUCAUCAGUGUGCCAACAUGGUAGUUUCUGGACAGGUUUAGCAGCUUAUUGAGAGGCUACAUGCUAAAGGGGACAAGGGAAUGGGUAGCAAGCAUUGUGAAGUGGGACACAAUUUGUAAUCACCCAGUGUGGGGAUGGUUCCCAAUCAGGCACAUCUGAGUCUCUAGACACACUCACACAGUGAAUGGACACAUUCGCAUUCCUUUACAAAGCACAGCGUACAAGCACAAAGAGCUUGAAAUUAUUUGGGGAUCCAAAAACAGUACAUGACUAAUAAUUAAGGCCUCCACACCUAACAGGGAAAAAAGGAUGCCACCAGUCCCAAGACUCAUGGCCAUAGCAGGAUAGUGUUGCUGUCAAAUGCUGGUUAGAACACACUCAGAUUACACACGGCCACUUGUCAGAGUUUCAUGCCUUUGUCAAGCUGCUGAGUGGGGCAGGUGCUGGUAGGGAGGGCCAGGGUUGGGAGUGAAGCAGCAGAACAUUUUUCUGACAGCGCAAAAGGAUAAAACUGCUUUUAGUAAUAUUCUGACAUAUUCAAAAUGGUAUCUUCCAACAUCUAAUCAAUAUAUUUUUUAAAGAACUAAUGACAGUUUCUGUUUUUUGGGGGUUUUUUUUUUUUUGGAGUAAGUCUUUAAAAUCCAGAUGUAUGACUACGUAUGUAUCAGUUCUACUCUGACAGGAUGUUUGGGAAUGAAGGCCAUGAAUCUGCAUUUUUAAUAAACUCUCUUGGUAAUUCUUA